CGAUGGGGGCCAAGAGAUUCUCGCUCCUCCCAUCAAGAAAGAGAUUCUCGCUCCUGCUUUCCUAUCUCUCUCUCCCCUCUUUCUUCUCUACUUGAAACUUCUUGUUUCGUUGUGGUGAGAUCUCUUAGAUCCAUUUAUACUUCUGUUUUUCUAGAUCUGAAGGACGUUUCCGUGAUUUCUACGAAAAGGAUUGUGGAUUUUGUUCAAUUUUUUUCAAUUAAUCUGGUGUCUCUGUCUGUUUUCUCGAUCUCCGGCGUGAAACGGUUUCAUUUCAAGGAGUUGUCUCUCAUUUUUAGCAAAUCUUUGGCCUCUAGGAGUGGGGAGCAAGGCUCCAUUCUCUCUUUUCCAUGACUCGUGGAAGAGAGGGAUUUGGCUAUUUUUAGUUAGAUUUCGGGUCUUAGAAUCUUCUUCUUUUGUUCUUCUGGUAAGAUAUUUCAGCUAGAUCUGGUUCUCACUAACUUCGAUUAUCACAGAAAUUUUUUGUUGGAUCUGUUCCUCAAAUCUUCAUCUCCUUGGCUUUCUUCUUCUUCUUCUUCUUCUUCUUUUCAAACUUUCCUCCUGAUCUGAGAUGGAGUGGUUGAAUCACCUUGGGGUGGAUCUGAGACUUCAAGAACGUAAAGAUAUGAUGCACUUGCAUAAAAAGAAUAUGAGGAGAUGAUGGGUUGGGUUGGGUGCUUUGGCCGGGCAUUGUCGGCUGACAACGAGAGAGAGCACGCCGGUCGGCAGUCCUGCACGGUGCCAUGGCUGUGUACCAGCGUGCUCUUUCUCGGUGUCACCCCAGUUCUCCCCACAAAGCUUCUCCUGAUCAAUUCCUUUGGAUCAAAACGUACAUUUGGAGUGUGCUGGCUCAAAGAAGGUGCCCUCUUCGGCUAUCCUUGCUAAAGGUACUUGCUUUAAUCUAUGCUGCAAUUCAUCCUUUUGGUUGAGAUAAAUUCUUGUUGAUUUCAAGUUACUUUUACUUUGAGUUGGAAGUGGAGGAUCUUUGGUGUUCUAGGGAUGUACUAGUUUUGCGAAUUAUUAGGUCUUCGAGUUACCUUUACAUGAUGAAUCUUCUGUAACUUUGGGGGAUGAAAAGCAAGCGAUGAAAUGACUGCUUAAGAUAAAUUCAUGAUUUUUAUUUGGACGAUGUGUUAUUUAUUCAUGUGAUACUAGAAAAUGUGGUUGUUUUUAAGAAACUCUUUGUCCAGGUUGAUGCUCUUAACAGAGAUCUUAUGCUACUUUUAUGCUGGUAAAGUAGACAAUACUUCAGGUUCCUUCUUUAUGUCUUGGAGUGUUUGUUUCUAUCUUGUAAGUAGGAGCUUAAGGAUUUGUAUCUUUUAUCUUAUGAUUUAAUUUUUAAUGUCCUUAGCAACUGGAUGUUGUAGGUAAAAGUCAGGACAAGUUUUAGUAAAGUUUUUGUCUUUAGCAAUCUUCACUGCAAUAGGUGGAGCAAAAUGUUUCUGGCUUUCAUAAACUUUGAAUUGUAUUAGGGCUUUCUUUCCUAACUUUAAUUUGGAAAAAAAAAAAAAAAUCGUAUGGAUAGGCGAACUGUGGAUUGUUGACGUAUAAGUGUGUUAUUGAAUGGUAGCCCUCUUCCUCCAGUCCACAUUUCUCGAGCAUCAUCACGCCUCUUCUCCACUGAAUAACAUUGACUGGUACUUGGGAAUUUGGUUUAUGCAUGUGUGUUGAUAACACAGGCACCCUCUAUGACAGCUUGUAAGAGCAGCACUUCGUGGCAUCUUGUGGGCUUGGAAGAUUGAGUUGUGGGAGCUAAUUGGGUCUACAAAAUGAAGUGAAUUUGUUAGACCGGUAACAGCGUGAUGACUAUGGAAUACAUUAGUAUUUGUCUACAACUUAUUAAGCUAAUAAUUUUCGUACUUUUUUACGCAUUAGAUUGGCAACUGUUCAUAACAGAUGACUUAAGCUACUUAAUUAGCUCAAGAUACCCGAAAAGUUCAGGGUAAGAAGGUCAUCUUACUUGCUUAUUUCUAAGUUUUACAUGGAUAUUCCCACGUAAUUUGAGCAGAUGGUUGCGCUAUAAUAUUUAUGCAUUGCUCAGCUUAGCUAGCCAAAAAAGUGAAAAACAAGGGUUAACUGGGAAAUGACAUGUUGAACUAUCCGUUCAAGGAUUUCUCUUAUUCAUGUAAUGCAAACACAUAAAUACGUUAGCUAAUUUAUCUGCUAUAGAUGGUUUCUUAAAAGAAAUGGAUUUGAUAAUUUUAAGCCGGCUUGACAAUGGUUGCUCAGAUGUUUACAAGAUGGAGGACUGAUGGAGCCCGUUUUCCCACUAGCGAUGGUUUUCUUUUGCUUGUCAUGAUACCAAGGAAUUUUGUUCUUCCUAAGAGUCAAUGAAGUCAGUGGUGGUGUUCUUAAGGUCAACUAAGUGACACAGAGGAUAGGCAUUGAAAUGUUUAUUCCUACUUAUGAAUAAUUUAUGUAACUUAUGCGUGGGCAUGAGCUCUUUCAGAAUUUCAUUUUUUUCUUUUGAUUGGAUUUUGUUUCACAUUUUACAUAAUUCAUAACGAGCUACAUUCAUGUUCUGAUUCAUUUAAGUACAUCAUGAUUCCAGCAUAAACGCUCACAUUUGAGUUUCCAUAUGUAAUAAUCCCAUUGUGGCAUUGUAUAUAUAUUCUGCAUAAUUUGGUUAUAUACGACUUUGACUUUCACCAGUAUUUUUUCAUUUAGUUGUUCUCCUAGUUAUCAAAUUUAAAGUUUCUGUUGGUUACCUCCUGUAGACUGCUAUUUAGAAGUUUUUGUGCAAGUUCUACAAAACCUUUUCCUUCCUCAUUAAGGCAGCUUUUUUGAUUGCUAUGCUUAGACUUUUUCACAUAAUGUGUUGAUGCAAGUAUUUAAUCUUUGGUCUACAGAAGACCCUUAUGAGUAACGUUUACUAUUGUGAAUGUAUGCUUUUCUAUUGGCUUGUCAUCUGAUUUUACAUUUUCCAAGUUUCAUUUUAUUAAGAAUAUUUUAAUAUCCUCCAUGCAGCUUAUGCCCUUGACAUCAAAUCCCAGACAACUCUCCAAGCCCAAUAUGAUAUAGAGUCAUUAAGAGAUAUGACCAUGAUCUUCAUACAACUGGGUGCAUAUGACCUAUGGAACUUGUCAGCACCAAUCUGCAAUGCACAAGAUAUUGUCUUCAAGUUUGAGCCCUAGGAUGUACCAGUUAUUGUCAAAAUUUUAAGUGCUGCUGUAGUUUCAUAAGCUUCUUUUAAUGAAUCUAGUUGCUUCUGAUGGCUAAUUUGCUACUGUCAUUACCAAUCAUAGAGUGAUAAAAUCUACAAUAUUGAUGGUUGAAGUAGUUAGUACAUAAUUGGGUGUCUAUAUUAUUGAUAUAAAACUACAAUAACUGUGUUAUAUAUAUCAUAAUUGUGGCUCAAGGAAAGAAAUAAAUGCAAUAUUUUGAUGAAUUAGAUUUGGUAGUGCCAGAAAUAUUAGAGAGGGAAAAAGUAUAAUUGGUAGACAAUUGAAUGGUGUAGGGAAAGGUAGUACGGUAACAUGGCAUUUAGAGACAUAAAUUGGAGCAAAGAAUGAGCUCAAAGAUGCAACCCUUGAAACUCUAGUGUUGCAUGACAUUGUGUAACAAUCUUCACCUUUUCUUUUUGGAAGAAGGUUGCAAUGACUUCUAGAUGGGGUAGGACCCAGUAAAUGAAACAUAACAAGUCCGAAGUUAAUGUUGGAGAUGUUUUGACUCAAAAUAAAUUGGUGGUCAUGCAUCAUCUACUAAAUUAUAAAGAAUGCUGUGAGAGUUAAAAGUCAUCUAGUGUGAAAACUAUUGUUUCUAAAAUCACAAGAGAUCCAGUUGGAGGUCAUAUAAUUUAAGCAUGUGUUGAUGGAAUAUAAUGGAGGUAAGGCUAUAAUAAUUGCACAUAUUACUAAGAUAGAUCAAGAUGGUACUCCCGAAGUUUGUGAAUGGUCAGUUUUUGGAAUUAGAAAUGAGAUGGGAUGCGCAACAUUUGAAUUUGUUAUGGUGCGCAAUCAUGUAAUACAAGAUACCUAUAUUAGAAGGCAUAUAGUGAGGUUCAAUUGUGGUAGUGCAAUUGCAAUUCUUAGUUUUUUCUUAGAGUAAAUGAAUUACUUUUGAAGCUUAUACAAAUUACUUUUGAGAGAGAGUUCAAUGAUUCAAAUGGAUUUUCCCUUGAGGUUUGUCAUUGAUUGCUCUUUUUAAACUAAAUGGAUGUGUUACUAGAGCAUGAUUUCCUCAAUCAUCUUCCUUAGUUAUAGACUUGCAAACUUAGGAAAUACUACUAAUUUGAGAAAGUAAAGGGGUUAUGUGGGGGCAUAUUUUGGAUAUUAGUGGAACAUGAUUGCACUUUUACAAUAUACAGGAAAAAUUCUUAUGGGUUAAAUGCAUGCUAAAAAUUGUUUGAAAGUGGUGAGAGAUAGUAGAUAUGCAAACACUAGAUGGUGGUUGGCAAGCUAAGGGAGUAGCUAUAAUUCUGGAUAUUGAAUGUGUAGCUAUAGUUCUUUGGAGUCAAACUACUAAAGAGCAAUUCUGGAUCUUAAAUGCACAUUAAUUGUGCAUAGUGUGUCCAAGGUUAUUAAUCCAAGAAGAAGAUAUGGUGAAUUGCAAUGGUAUAGAAGUUUUGAUUUGUAAUUCCUCUAAAUAAAUACAUCGAAUUAAUUGAUGAUCAUCAAUAAAGGUGCUGCUCAAAUUCUUGAAGUGAAGAAUGUAUGAAUAUAGGAGAAACAAAGGAGAUUAUGAAAGAGUUAGUGACGUCUGAUAGUUGUUAAAAAAUAGUUGUCUUACAUCUUUUAAUAUGCAAAGGUACUUUAUUAGAAAAAAAAGCAUUGCCAAUGAGACUUGUUUCCAAUUGUUGACAUCCUUUUCGUAAGGUCCUACUUUUAGGAGAGGUGAGGAUUCAAAGUUGCAGGUGGGAUGCUGCCUUCAUAUUGUUCAAAAUAAGCAUUUGGUUGCACCAUUUCAUUAUUUUUUCCUAUAAAAGGUAUGUCAAAAAUCUUUUUAGAGCUUUUUUAGAUGUUUGAUUAUCUUGGUAUCAAGUUCUGCAAUCUCAAUACCAAUAUAAGGUAUGGUUUUAAGGCAAACCGUACUAACACUUGAUGCAUAGAUAUGUAUCGAUUCAAUCAAGAUUUGCCAUAUUGGUCGGUACGCACUUGAUAUGUAGAUCUAUAGUAUGGUCGGUACAUAUAGUCCAUACUAUAUUGGUAUGGAGUCGGUAUGCAGUACAAGGGCCGUAUCGAUACUCAGUACAUGGAAGCGGAUACCAUACCAGAUAUACCGACCUAUAAUAGGAUGACAUCAGUAUGGGAUUUGGUAUUGAGACAAAGGACCUUUGUUUCAAUAUUCCUACAUUUUUCUUUUUCAAUUUUUUGAUUUUCAAGGUUAUUUGAUCUUUAAAUUAUGAUUUUAAGGAUAUUUUUAUAUUUUUAAUUCAUAUUGAUCUUAGGAGAUUGUAUGAAUGCUUAAUCGAUGCAAUUAUAUUCUUCAAACAUAGAUUUAUAAUAAUUAAAGAUAGACAAUGCAUAUUUUUAAACUUGAAAAUAUAUACAUCAAAUUGAUUUGGAUUAAGUACAUAUAUAUAUCGUUAUUUAGUUCCUCAUGAUGUGUCUAUAUUGCUUGUAGAUAUAGGGACCUUCUUUUAUAGUUAGGGCCUUGGGCUUGACCCCAACCUAGAUAUUGUGCCUAUUCCUGCAUUCGAUCAUCUGAGCUUCCUAAAUAGACAUCCUGGCAUUGAUCUUUUGUUCAAUACUAGGCUGGUCAUUCUAAAAAAUCACAGCAACAAAGGAUAUGCAUAUGGGCCAUAUUCCGGCUAUGUAGGAUAGGAUCUAGUAUAUGAUGAGGAUCCAGAUACAUCUGGAGACCUUACUCUACAUGUUAUACCGUCACCUCCAACAAUGCUAUGUCCUCAACUACCUUAAGGGGCCUAUCUUCUAUAUUAUCAUAACUUCACAGGCCUUACGAUGUGCAUUGUCCUAUUUUGCAUGGCAUGAGUGAAAUGUAACUCGCGAGCAAAUCGACUCAGACUAGAUGAUUGUGAGUCAUAUGCACUCUCAUCACAAAUGCAUCAUCACUCGUAUUGUAAGAUGAUCUAGGCAAUUGAUCAACUAAAGGGAUGACAUCAAACUUUGAGUGAAUGAGCUUCUUAUCAACCCUCUCCAAUGGAUUGGAAACUUUCUUCCCUUUACUAUGUCUUGCUACUUUGAGAAACUAUUUUCUUUCCCCUAGCUAACCCCCUGCCGUGUAUGGCUCUAUUGGGUGGCUUAAUUAGACCUACCACCCUAACUGGCCCCACCUCCUUUACUGGAUUGGGUGCCAUGUAAUCUCUUCUUAGUAUCUCCCUAUCAUAUCUUUGGGUAGAUGUGUUAAUACAUGGAGCUUUGCGAUCUUGAUUGGCUACCUCCUAGGAGGUCAAGGUGGUUGUUUAGGAUGUAACAACCAUCUCUUGAAAUUUGGGAGUCUUGAUAUCGGUCACAUAGAGCUAUUGGUGGAACUAAGGGGGUAUUUGGUUCGUAAUCGAAAUCGAAAUGGGAAUGAAAAUCGGAAUGACUUAGAAUCGAAAUCAGAAUGGUCAAAUCUUCCGAAGCAUUUGGUUCGCAAUCAGAAUCGGAAUCGGAAUUGAAAUAAAAAUUUGAAUCCACAGAGAAGAGUAGGGAUUGAGUUCUAUAUAGAUUGAGUCAUUCCCAUUCCAUCCUGGAAUCGGAAUCGAAAUGAGACUCCUCCCAACCAAACGAUUGGAAUGGGAGUCACCUAUUCCGAUUCUGAUUCCAGACCCUCAUUCUUCCCAACCAAACAAACCUUAAAUGGAUUGGUAGGUGUUUAUGAUGACCUUCACCAUUACUUUGCAAGGGUAAAAUGGAGGUGGGAUUCCGAGAGUUUACUCUCUAAGAUAUGUCCACAAGUGUUUAAACCAUGGGAACGUACCAAUCUAGUGGCUGAGUAUGCACGAUUGUGCGGUGCUAGAGAAAGACAAGAUGUUCCAUUGUCUGGUAAUCAACAAGAAGCUAUAGUUUGGUGAAGUACCAUCUCAAAAAGGAUGGAAGAUCAGUUGAGAUUAUUAUAUAAUUUGCAUUGCAAUCUUGGAAUCUAGAGUUCAUAGUUUCUGGUAUGUUCAGCACCUAAAAGGAACCCAGCUGAAUAUCCCAAGCCGAGCCUGCCGUUUUAAAUCCCUAUGGAUGGCUUGGUGAAGGUAGCUAGUUUGGAGUCAACCCCAUCCAACAUAGGUCCAUAACCUUGAUCAUUUGGAAAGGAAAAUAUGAAGUAUAAAGAACGAGGAACCAAGAACUUGUAGCAAUUUAUGUUUUGGGAAGCUCUCGUAGCUCAAUGUAGCAUGGGUGCCUUUCCAGUGGCAAGAAAGAAGUAUAAAGAAUGAGGAACUGGGAACAUAUAGCAAUCUAUACUUUUUCAUCUUAGGAAACUCUAGUGGCUUAAUGUAGUAUGGGUGCCUUUACAGUGGCUUAAUGUAGAGCAUGGGAGCUUUGGACGAUGGGGCCCCGUCUAGGUCAUUUUAAUGUCCUCUAUUCAUUCUUUUUUAUCUUAGAAGAAAACAAAGAAAUAAUGCGAUGAGUUUAUCCACAACAAGAUUAAAUGAAUUGAGUGUACGCAGAAGAAGAUGAUUCUUUUUAAAUACAUUUCGAUUUUUGGUACUUUUGGGUUGGGAAGGCCUAAAAUUUAGCUAGAUCAACUUGACCGAGGCAUGGCUAGUACAUCAUAGCAUACAUAACCGCAUUUGUGCAAACUUUGCAGACAAGUUGAAGUCAAAUAAUUUCAGUUCAGCAUAAACACUCUAAACCUUCCAGUCAACAGCGUAAGAUGGAACGGUUAUUUUCACAUUUUGUCAAGAAAAUUCAACAUUAAUACAUGAGUAAGCUUUAAGUUUCUACUUAUUGCCCAUUAUGAGCAAACAGCAAUCUCCUAAAAUGAAUAAAAUCAAGGCAUGGAACUAAAGGAAGUACUGUCUAAGAGAGAUCUAUGUGCAAGAGCUAGGGUCAUGCGUGCAUGGAAGUAGGGUGUCCUAAAAGCCCAAGAAAUUAGUGGAUUUUAAUUGACAUCUGAACAUAAUGUCGCUCAAAUAGGUUACAAUGUGCGUAAAAUGGUGAUAAAAGAAUGCAGAAGAAGGAAGAAUUAAAAAGAAAUAUUAUUUGUAUGGAAGGAUACGUCAUUAGAGAGGAUGCUUGCAUAGUCUUCCACACGUUGUUAGGAAAGGACAAAUCUUAGUAUAUCAUGUCUUCAUAAUCCAAAAAGUAUUGGGAGAGGAACGAGUACAGAAUCUCAGAAAAGGACCCUUUUUGUUACUGUUUGGGAGAAGCGGAGAGUUGUGUGGCUCUAUAAGUCGUUUCGUAAGACUACUUAAUAGACUAGGAAUCCC